CCUCCGAUAGCUCAGUUGGUAGGUAGAGCGGUGGACUAUAGAUCCAUAGGUCGCUGGUUCAAAUCCGGCUCGAAGGA
rnacentral:tRNA from 1 species